UUUUAUAUCUCCAUCGUGACUCUUCUUUAAGAGUGAUACACAGAGAUUUAAAGGCCAGCAACAUUCUUUUAGAUGAGAAAAUGAACCCAAAGAUAUCAGACUUUGGAUAGGCUCGCAUUUUCGAAGGAACACUAGAUCUCGCAAAUACUCAAAGGGUUGUUGGAACUUUAGGCUACAUGUCUCCUGAAUAUGCCAUGGGUGGAGUCUUUUCAGAAAAAUCAGAUGUCUUUAGCUUUGGCGUAUUGAUCUUGGAAAUAGUGAGCGGCAAGAAGAACUCUAACUUCCAUUAUUAUGAGAAACCUCUUAGCCUUAUUGCUCAUGCAUGGCAAUUAUGGAGUGAUAACAGAGGAUUAGAGUUUGUGGAUGAUGCAUUGGGUGGCUCACGUAGUGCAUCAGAAGCAAUAAGAUGCGUACAUGUUGGGCUGUUGUGCGUACAAGA